ACUUAAAGUGGACUUGUGGCGUAGUGGGGACUCGAUUGCAUGGACCUCUAGGACAUUCAUUUAUUUUGUUUUAGCUUGUUAUGUCGAGUUUUGUGCAUAUAUUGUGGUUGGGUUUGAUUUGGAAUUAUUUUAUUUUGUGGGCGGUUUGUGUCCCAUUUAGUAUAUAUUUUUGGAAGUUGGUUGUGGUUGGUGUUACCAUUUAGUUUGUGACAUGUCAGUGGAUUGGGUUUUGAUUUAUUUAUUUAUGGGCUAUCGUCACAUUUAUUCUUUGUGAUUUUGGGUUCAUGUUUAAGGCUUACGUGUGCCUUGGGCUUAGUCCCUGUGGGCCACGGCUGGUCAUGCCUGGAGUUGGGGUGUGACAGACUUCUAAUUCUAAAUAAGAUGUUUAGAUAUUAUGACUGAAAAAUGGGCAGUAGCUGGAAUUGAAUUUUCCCUGCAGGUUGCAGCUGGAGCCUUAAUUGCCUAAUUAGAUUGUUGUUGUUACUUUGUUGAAAGUUCAGUUCAAAAAUGGCUUAAAUAUAUGGAGUGGGAAAAUAUUACUUUUUAGGAUUGAUUUCUAGUUUUUCGUCCACUGGAUCCAGAGACAGAACUAUGCUAUGGCUUGGGGUGGUCAUGGCCCCCUCAGCCCUUGAUAAGCCUCUAUGUCUAUGCUUGCUAGUAACUAAGAAUUCAAAAGUUUUCAGAAUAGUGUCCCCUCCAAUAUAUACAUAUACAUAUAUAUAUAUAUUAAUUUUGCUGGGCAUUUCAUCAAGUUUCUUUCACCUUUUUUUAUUUCAUAUCUAUCCACUACCACAUGUUACGAAAUGAAAAAGGCUCAAGCAAUUUUAUAUUUAAUUGUCUCUAGUUGGUAGGUAAUUUCCCAAUGAAAAAAGCUCAAACAAUUUUAUAUGUAAUAAAACAAAUACAAAUACAAAUACAUGGCAGACACUAGUUUAUUAUUAGAUCAAUGGAUUUUUUUUUUUUUGGUAUUUGGUUUGAAAUUUGAUUAUCAAAUUAAAACAUCUAAAUCUGUUAUGAUUUAAAAAUGAUUUAUUAUGAUGAAAUUUGGGAAUGAUGGAGUUUAUUUUGAGAAAUCAGAAAGAAAAGGUGAUCUGUUAAUAGUUAAGCCGGAAGAUGGUAAUUUGAAUAUUUUAUUUGUUGCCAAUGGGUCACCAGAACCAAUUUCUUUGUCACCAAAUUUGGACAGCCUUCCAGAGAAGAAGAGAAGAGGAAGAUCUUCCAUAAGCCGGAAAUCAGUGAGCCUGGAUCACAUUAUGGUUCCAGAGACUGUGUUUGCACUUUUAGAAAAAAAAAAAAAAAAAAAAAAAAAAUUUGUUCAUUCCAAGUGCAUCUUGAUGGUGUACUUGACCUGUCAUGGUCCAAGUCUCAAGUUAGCUACACUUACACUGCUAUUUUGGUAGUAUUUUAUUCGCAUUUUUAGUAGCAUUGUAGCAUAUGAUUAUUAUUCUUGCAAAGUCCAAAGAAUUAAUCUUUUGUUGUAUGUUGCAUGUUGUAUGGGUGGUGAAUGAAGUAGGCUAAUGUAUAAUUUUUUGAUCAAGCUUAUCUUCAGGAAACAUUAUAUGCAGAUACUCUUGAAAUGUUUACUGCGAGUCUGCGAGGCUUACUAUUAAACCUCUGAUAUGUUUUGUUGUUAGUUAACUAGUUAGUUUGUUCAAAACUAUAUAAUACAACCAUUUACCAUUUGACAUGUUCAUUUAGCCUGAAAAGAUAUCUGAAAACAAAAUGCAUUGCGGUUGAGGUUGAGGUGUUCGUGCCAAAAAAAUUGUGGAGCAUGCUUCACACCUUUGGGGCGUUACGAGUUGGGGAAUGCUAACAUAGAGGCAAUUUGCAUAUGGCUGAGGGGGCUGUAUUUUGGCAAAUCAAUGGGGAAUGCUUUAUAAUGACUAGGAAUUCCGGUUUUUCAUAAUGAGACAUCACGAAAUUGUAUGGUGUUUAAGGUUCAGUAGUUCAAGGAUGUGUUAGAUACUCAACAAAAAAGGAUGUGUUAGAUACUCAUUUUUCAUCACAUGUUAUUAUCUUUUCAUCCUUAUUUUGGGCACUGGUUUCUAUCAAUGUUUUACCUCAAUCAGAUAAGGUGGAUAAUUUGUUAUAACUAUUGUAUUGAUGAAAUUUUGAGGUAAAGGAUGUUGAUGUCAAAUGAGUAAAAACCUCAGUGAAGCGCAUGGGUAUCCUCAAAAAUCUAUUGGUAUUUGUCUUUUAUUGUCUAUUCUAUAUGACAUCUUGUGAAGAUGGAUAUAUGCAUCUUAGUUAAGCAAUUGAGCUUCCUGUGGAUCACGGGAUCAGGCUUCUGGCUAGUCCAAUAUGUAAUCAAUACAUCUUACUAUCAAAAAUUUUAUUUUCAGCAUUUGCUCUCAUCUUCAAUGGACAAAACUGUGUGGCUUUGGCACUUGUCUGGCAAGUCUUGUUUGAAGGUUUUGUUCGCACAGUGAUUAUGUAACUUGCAUCCAGUUUAACCCUGUUGAUGAUAGAUACUUCAUCAGUGGAUCGUUAGAUGCUAAGGUUCACAUAUGGAGCAUUCCUGAUCGUCAAGUUGUUGAUUGGAAUGAUUUGCAUGAGAUGGUCAUUGUUGCUUGCUAUACACCAGAUGGUCAGGUUGGCCAUAUCUAGACAGAGCCUCUGAUUUACUUUUGCUCCACUAAAAAGGCGUAGAGAUGUCAUUUUAUAGUAUGUGGGUGUUUUAUAUAUGGCUUAAUGAAUAUUUGUUGAUAUCUGAAGGGAGCACUAGUUAGUUCAUACAAGGGGAGCUGCCGCUUAUACAACACUUCUGGUACAGAAGAUAGUUCUCUCUUUAUCUCUUCUCUUUCUCCUAUCACUAUUAUUGAACUUUUUCCCCUCUUUUCAAGAAAAUAAGUUGCAACAAAAAGCUCAAAUCAAUCUGCAAAAUAAGAAAAAGAAAUCUCAUUGAAAGAAUAUCACUGGUUUUCAAGUAAUUGAUUUGUCAAUCCUAUGUACUUCUGCGGACAUGGUAGGUAUGAAAGAUAAAGUGGAAUCCUUUUUCUUUAUUUUUUUUGGCUUCACAUAAAGUUAUUUACCGGUUUCCAUUGCAAUGGUCCUUGCACCAUUUGCUUCUGAGCCAUAAAUGUUUGCUCGAUGCCUUUACAGUUGCUGAUAAGUUUUCAAUUAACAGUUUGCACCAGGAAGCUCAUCAGAACUGCACAUUACAUCUGCAGAUUCACAGAUACGGGUCAUUGAUGGUGUUGAUCGGGUUCACAAGUUUAACGGACAUCGCGGUGGCAAAUUCCAACCCAAGCCCAAGGUUCAAAUUGAGAGAGAGAAACCUGAUGCUGACACUUCUCAUUGAGAUGCAGUUGAGUCCAUUCCAUGUCGACAACAAGCUCAAUCGAUUCCUUCUGAAACUGAAUACAUGAACGAGGGUUCAAACCUUGCAUUCCCAUCUAACAAUAUUGUUGAUUUCCCAUCCUUGAGGAAAUAUCCAAUAUUUUUUUGGAUGAUUUAGAACAUUUUGGACGGUUUAGAACUUAGGGAUAGUUUUUUAUGUUUAGAAACAUAGUUUUUAGAUGGUUUGGAAUGUAUAGAUAGUUUUUGGAUAUUUAGAACUUAUGGAUAGUUUUUUUAUAGAUGUUUGAAACAAUAGUUUGGUGUUUGA